UAAUGUCUGGGAAACUGCCUGAUGGAGGGGGAUAACUACUGGAAACGGUAGCUAGUACCGCAUAAUGUCGCAAGACCAAAGUGGGGGACCUUCGGGCCUCAUGCCAUCAGAUGUGCCCAGAUGGGAUUAGCUAGUAGGUGGGGUAACGGCUCACCUAGGCGACGAUCCCUAGCUGGUCUGAGAGGAUGACCAGCCACAUGGAACUGAGACACGGUCCAG
rnacentral:rRNA from 1 species